rnacentral:tRNA from 1 species
CCCCGAGUAGCACAACGGCUAGUGUGGUCGCCUGAUGAGCGAUCGAUCGUGGUUCGACUCCACGCUCAGGGACCA